CUUAAAAGAAAAAAAAGACAGUCAACACAAUCCAACCGACAACUCUAAUCCUUUGGUGAAACAUCGUCUCUUUCUCUCUCUCAAAACCGUAACUUCUCCUCCUACAAUCGAUCGAAUCCAAUGACCAAUAGUAAUCUUCCUUAAAGAAUCAUCAAAGGUACGUUUUCCGAUCCUCUGUACAAUCCUCCGAAUCCUCUCUCUCUAGAUUAACAGCUGGAGCAUGACCAGAGAUUGGCAGAUCGCCCAACCUUGAACCAGAUAUUGGAAAAAUUUUAAAUAGUUGGAACCCGGAUUUGGUGAAAAUGUUAAGAGAGUAAAAGUAUAACAGGACGAAAAUGAAGCUUCAAAUGUUAUGGCUCGCUUUGGUAUUGAUCGCCAUCGAAGCUUACGCAGCUAGGGAAAGAAUACAACAAUAAUCCCAGCACUUAUAUUGUUUGGAGAUUCAAUAAUGGAUACAGGAAAUAACCAUAAUCUUCCAACUCUCUAAAGUGUAACUUCCCUCCAUAUGGCAAAGAUUUUCCUUGAGGCUCCGCCAGUGGAAGGUUUUCUGAUGGAAGAGUUCCUUCUGAUCUUAAUUAUUGAAUCUCAGAUAGGACUUUCCGGUGAUGACGUUCAUUGACGGUGAUGGAAUCGUCGCCGUGGGUACUUCAUGGUGGUGUUUUGACGUUAGAGAUCGUGGUCUUACCAAAAAACACACAUGGAUUUUCCUUUGUAAUAAUAAUAGUAAUUCUUAAUAGAAAACGUUUGGUCCCAAAUUUGAUUAAUACCAACAAGAGAGUUGGUUAGAAGGAGGAAACGUAAAACACGUUGUAACAAACCUUUUGUCCCUUCCAAUGAA